UCGCCUCUUGUUGGUCAAAUAAACCUUUUCUGAACUUGUCCUGCGUUUGGGUCGUCCAACCCGCUCAACCCUACAACCCUGACAGCUUCCAUGGGAGGUGCCGCUGUCGUGUGACUUCAUUCGGGUGCUACUCGUGAAGUUGGCAGAUAUUUUUUCUACGAGGUCACGAGUAGGAAAUCUGACAUCAGGUGGCGUUCCAUAGUACUUUUUCUUGUUGGAGGUUGGAAAUUCCCCAGUUGUGAGUUGCCUGGAACGCAGCAUAAAUCAUUGAUGCAGGACAGCCCAAAUAAUCAAGCACAGGAGAACGAACCGUAACACUGACUUUAAAACAAGAAUCAAUACAAAGUGGGCCAAAAUAAUACAAAAUACAAAAACCAUGAUCGUGACACUUUUAUAAUGUCUUGGUUGUUUGCUGCCUCAAAUAAAUAAUAGAUGCAUCAAGGCUACGAAUGUGUUGCAAGCUUUUGUCAGCAGGAUCUUGCAUAUGUGGAAACGCAUACGUUCAGCCAGUGAGGUGCAUAUAAUCACAAUGUUGUAUCCAGUGGUCUCUCUCCCCUGUUAACCUUUUGUUCUCUGCUGUUUACCCAUCCUAUUGUGCCUGUCUGUCUGUUUUCCCCUGUGAGUUGCUUAGUUUGCAGAUGGGCGUGCUUUUCCUCCCUGGCUCCUGCACAGUGUCUCCACACACCUGCACCUCGUUCCAAAUCAACCGCAGGUCCAGCACGCCAGUAUUCGCCAGAUCAUCUUCCGUGAACCACCCGAACCUGCCUGCCAGCUCACCUGCUGCACCCUCGCAGCUUCAGUCCAACCACUUCGCUUCGCUUUCCCUAUCUGGACCUGGAUCGACUCCCUCGCCCCCUGGGUCCAGCUUUUAUGUACACCAUUAACACCUAGCUGUUUAAGCAGGGAGCUGUUCUCAGGACUCCACUCUUCCUCCUCCUUCCCUUUUCUCAUUUCUCCCUUCUGAAGAAGAUGGGCUCAGGUUAGGAAUUCAAUUAUUUAUUAAAUUUAAGCUUGAUGUAGUACACUUAAGUAGCACACAAAGAACCUUUUUUAAAGGGAUAGUUCAGGAUUUAAAGUGGAGCUGUGUGAGGUAAUUAUCCACGGUCAGUGAGAGUGAUCACCCAGGAACCCUCAAAAAGCCUGAAAUUAAGUUUGUUUUUGUUUGCCAUGUUUUAUUUCUAAGCAAGUAGUCUCAAGUAGAGCCAUGUCUUUAGAGUGUAGCAAAGCUUAACAUCAGGAAGCAGAUGGAACAGAACAUAUCCUUCAGUUACUGAGGAUGUGAGCUCACACAGUGGCAAACAAAUAUUUUACUAAGCAAUCAUUUGAAGCUGAGAGGAGCUCAGCAGCAAUUACAGCCUGUUUUAUUGUAGGCUAAUAUCAAUCCUGCAUGUUUCAAAUUGUUAUUACUUGUUUAAAUGUGGUAUGAACAGUUAAUUAGUGACUAAUCUCCACUACAGAUUUCAAAAGAUAUGUAAGAGACAUGGGCCCAGAAUUGUAUGCUACGCUCCUGACUGCAGGUAAUACACUGAUUAUACCUCAUGCUGUCCCACUUAAAAAAAAAAAAAUAAAAAAAAAAAAAAAAUCCAACUAUUAGGGUUGGGUGUCGUUUAAAAUUUUACACUACCAGUACCAAAACCAGUACACUUAAAGUGAUAGACCACCAAGUACUUCAUUCGAUACCUAGCGUAAAGUGCCACCUGUUGAAGAGAUAGUGGUUGAUUGGUAGCCUAUUAUUAUUUUUAUUGUUCAGACAAGCAAGGUUUUUCAAAUAACGGUUACAUAAAAUAUAUACAGAUCCUCCUCACAGGUAGUAUCAUCAGAGACAGCUUGGAAGUUUUUUUUUGUAUUUGAGUGAGAGAGGAGGAGUGAAAUAGUUUAGCGACCAAAUGAGUUUAGAUAAAUUUUUGAUACGUUUGUGAAAGUAAACAGAAUUAUUUCUUUAGGAACGGGUAGCUCGAUACUCGAUACAUUUAAGCCCAGCAUUGAGUAGUAUCCAAACGUGUCCACUCAAACCAGUUCUUCAGUCAAUACUUUUUGUAUCCAAAUUGCGGCAAAAUGACUAUUUUUAUGGUUUUGCUUGCAGCCAAACACACAAGCAACACACUGAAAGAAAGAGAAAAGCAUGCCUUUUUUUUUUUUUUUUUUUUUCCCGUACGUGCCUGCACCCGCUUGUCCAUGUGUCUGAGAUGUCUCAUUUUAUAACUGACUAAGAAGGUUGUCAGUUUUUUUUUUUUUAUUCCUGGGAACACACCAUUUCAAAAGCUCAGACUUAACUUCCUUAGGCAACCUGCUCAAGCAUCAAGUCAGUACUCAGUACUAGUGUUACAUUCAAUUCUUAAGAAUCUGUACAUAUGCAGGAACAAGUUAAACAAACCUUUCAUUGUUUUCUGUUGUGAAACUUGAGUCUCGCCCUAAUUCAAAUGAGGUGGCUGCACUAUAGUUGGCACAAAAGAGCAACAAAGACAGUGACACCUGACGAAAAAUCAGUUUUUGCACUUUCAUUCUCUAACUUUAAUGGGGUUAGUUGGUAGGGAUCACUAAUAGCCCAGUAUUGAGUAGUAUCCAGAUGUCUCCAGUCAAACCAGUACUUGAUUCAAUAGUAUUUGUAACCAAAUUGCGGCAAAAUGACUAUUUGUAUGGUUUUGCUUGCAGCCAAAAACACAAGCAACACACUGAAAUAAAGAGAAGGGCAUGACUCUUUUUUUAUUUUUUUAUUAUUUUUUUUUUUAUCAGCCGCUCACCUUCGGCUGUAACACGUUCGUCACUGUUGCACAUUUAUCACCACAAGCUUGGCUUUCUAUUGGUUCAUCUUCUGGUAUCAUUUAAGAGUUCUCUGUACAUUUGCAUUUGCUGUUCUUUCUAAAAAAAUAAAAGAGGCAUGUCCUUCUUUCAGUG